GCCAGGCAUGGUGAAGCAUGCCUGUAGUCCCAGCUACUCAGGAGGCUGAGGCAGGAGCAUCGCUUGAGCUCAGGAGGUCGAAGCUGCAGUGAGCCGUGAUCAUGCCACUGCACUCCAGCCUAGGCAACACAGUGAGACCCUGUCUCUC
ensembl:misc_RNA Metazoa_SRP Metazoan signal recognition particle RNA